AGAAUAUACAAUAUACUAAAAUAGGAACGAUACAGAAAAACUUAGAAUGGCAAGGAUGACACGCAAAAUCGUUAUUCGUUCCACAUUUUU
rnacentral:snRNA from 1 species